AUUUUGUUUUGUGAAUUCUUGGAGUCUAUUCGUCAAUUUUCUUCUUCACUUGUAGACAAACUUUUCUUUCAUCUUUGAUUUGUAGGCAUGAGGAUCUUGGUCGAAUCUAUUCGCUGUGCUGUCAAGAAGAGACUGAGUUCUGGACCUGACGGACUUUCUCGAGGUCCGUCAAAGAAAUUGAGAGGAGGAUCCUCCCCUCGGG
rnacentral:lncRNA from 1 species